CCUACGGGGGGCAGCAGUAGGGAAUAUUGCACAAUGGAGGAAACUCUGAUGCAGCGACGCCGCGUGAGUGAUGAAGGCCUUCGGGUCGUAAAGCUCUGUCGCAGGGGAUCAGGUACCCUGCAAGAAAGGAUCGGCUAACUUCGUGCCAGCAGCCGCGGUAAGACGAGGGAUCCUAGCGUUGUUCGGAAUUAUUGGGCGUAAAGCGGGUGUAGGUGGCUAUGUAAGUCGAGUGUGAAAGCCUGGGGCUCAACCCCAGAAGUGCAUUCGAUACUGCGUAGCUUGAGUGGUAGAGAGGAUAGUAGAAUUGUUGGUGUAGUGGUGAAAUACGUAGAUAUCAACAGGAAUACCGGUGGCGAAGGCGGCUAUCUGGUAACACUGACACUCAGACCCGAAAGUGCGGGGAUCAAACAGGAUUAGAUACCCCAGUAGUC
rnacentral:rRNA from 1 species